GGCCUCCCAAUUCUUACCACAGGCUGUGUUCUUUACACUAACUGUAUAAAAAGAGGAGAUACAGUAAAUGCAUUCCAUAAUACACCUCCAACCCUGGCCCUUUAUGCCUGGUAUGUAUUGUGAAUUGGGGGACAAAA